AGAGUUUGAUCCUGGCUCAGAUUGAACGCUGGCGGCAGGCCUAACACAUGCAAGUCGAGCGGAUGAAGGGAGCUUGCUCCCUGAUUCAGCGGCGGACGGGUGAGUAAUGCCUAGGAAUCUGCCUGGUAGUGGGGGACAACGUCUCGAAAGGGACGCUAAUACCGCAUACGUCCUACGGGAGAAAGCAGGGGACCUUCGGGCCUUGCGCUAUCAGAUGAGCCUAGGUCGGAUUAGCUAGUUGGUGAGGUAAUGGCUCACCAAGGCUGCGAUCCGUAACUGGUCUGAGAGGAUGAUCAGUCACACUGGAACUGAGACACGGUCCAGACUCCUACGGGAGGCAGCAGUGGGGAAUAUUGGACAAUGGGCGAAAGCCUGAUCCAGCCAUGCCGCGUGUGUGAAGAAGGUCUUCGGAUUGUAAAGCACUUUAAGUUGGGAGGAAGGGCAGUAAGUUAAUACCUUGCUGUUUUGACGUUACCGACAGAAUAAGCACCGGCUAACUUCGUGCCAGCAGCCGCGGU
rnacentral:rRNA from 1 species